UUUUUUUUUUUUGCUUUUAACCCCGUAAAAAUGUUAUCAAAGUACUAUUUUGCCUCUUCAUUUAUCAUGAGAUUAUUCUCAAUUUAAUAUAUACAGAAAAUAGUAUAUUUUAAUUUGAUAUUCCUUUCAAAUACUAAUAAGUCUACUUUCCUUCUGCGUUUACAACCAAAAAGUACUCUUCAUUAUUUUCUAUGGCCUUUAAGAUCUGUUAACAAACACAGAAAGCUGGUCUCAAAUGACCCAGAAACCAGGGAUGAGACAUGGCAGGAGAAACAUGCUAAUGGCCCUGCUCAGACAGAACCCACACCCACACCCGUGCCCAGAGGCGGGUCAGGGCAAGGCUGGCGCAGCCAAGCCCAAUACUGUUUUUUUUCUGUAGACACACGUGGACUCCCUUGCUGUCACGUGGCGGAGGACCUGAGAAGGGCCCCUCAGGUCAAGGUCACAUCAUGGCCGGGAGGAGGUCUUGUACCACCCGUGCAGAAAGACUAAUACUCACCUGCACGUGACCACUCGAGCUUUUCUACAGCCAGCCUCCUCCAGGUUCUUAAAAGUGAAAACACUGCUUGGUGUCCUAUUUCUUUGGGGCUAAUGGAAAAUGCCUGCCUACCUAGACUUAUUUUCAUUUUCUCUCAAAAAAAAAAAAAAAAAUCCUUGCACUUGCAGUUUUCUCAAAUCAUCCUAGGCACAUAGAAAAUAUUUUCAAUUAAAAGUAUCUGAUGUUAGAGGUUAGGGGACUACAGUGGGUUUUUAAAGAACUUUAUUUUGGAUUAUUGUUUAUCUACCAUCCUGAUUAGAUCAUGGAAUAAUUUAGUGUGCUUUUACAUAUUUUACAAUUUACCGUUUCCAAUAGUUUCUAGUUUUAUUUAAGCUGAACCACAUGCCAUGAUCAUUUCUAGGUCAACGAUGCUGAAUAUCAGCAAUUUCAUAUGGCUCCAUCUGGUUACACUGUGAUUAAGACAUAAUGUUCUUGGAGUUCCCGUCACGGCGCAGUGGUUAACCAACCUGACCAGGAUCCAUGAGGAUGCAGGACUGAUCCCUGGCCUCGCUCAGUGGGUUAAGGAUUUGGAGUUGCCCUGAGCUGUGGUGUAGGCUGCAGACACGUAGGUUGCUAUGGCUGUGGCAUAGGCCAGCGGCUACAGCUCCAAUUCAACCCCUAGCCUGGGAACCUCCAUAUGCUGCGGGUGUGGCCCUAAAAUAGCAUAAAAAAAGAAAAAAUAAGAAAAAAGAACUCAUGUUCUUUCCUUUGAUGAAUGGGUUAGGCUAGCAUUUGGUUAAAACAUCCACUGUACCUUUCUUAUCUUCUGAUGCUCUCCCUGGUCCCGUUCCAACUUAAUAUUUAAUUUUUACUAAGAUCUCCCUGCCUCUUUCUCCUUCUCAUGCCGUAUAAUUCAACAAUUAUUUCAAUCUCUCCUGAAAAUACAGUUUAUAAAUAAAUGGGUUUCAGGUAGCUUCAGAAACAUUACCAAAUCACAGUACUACAAGCUUGAAAAGGCUAGAUCCGCCAUUGGAAGUAAGCAGGUGUUUUGCCUUUUCCUUCCUGAUCACUGAGCUUACAGGUUAAAGAAAGUCCUUUACAGACGAGAACAGUUUAAACCAGCAUCCCUCUCCCAGGAGACAGAAACGCUCUCUCGUUCUCCACACUGCCACCUGGUGGUUCUCCACGUGAACCACGCCUCUUGCUCUGGCUUCCAUUCAUAACCCACGAGAGAGAAACAGAGCCCGGGUCUUGGCUUUGGCUCGCCCGGCCUUUGGAAAUCAUGAGCCUACACCGGCACACCCUGCAGACGCCCAGCCCUGACCACGCCUUCUGGAAUUUGGGGGGGUCUGUCUUCCAAAAACUCCAGUGAGGGUGUUCUGGGCUGUGACACUAUUCCAUGGGGCAGAUUUCUGUGGAUAUGUGAUUCUUUGAAGAGCUUUUCACUUGCUAACAACAUAUCCUCUAGGGACCUGCAGGGGACAGGUCUCCCAGAGGAACAGCUAAGCUGUCAACGUAUCCCUUGCCACCAAGGAGAGCCACUGCUUCACUGUGUUUCAAAUGCAAAGUUUGUGGGUAACACCGUGAUGGGAGUCAGGGAGCCCCAAGAGUGAAGCAACAAGAUUUCUUCAACACAUUUUCAUCCAUAUGUGGAGCUUACAACUCUAGGUGUCAAAGGUAACUUAGCUGUUUUCUAGAACCGCCCAGUGGACUGGGCUGGAGGUCUGACUGUAAGAUUGACAAAAAGCCUCUUUGCUGCGACGCUUCAGAACGUCACUCACACCUCACUUUCUGCCAUCGAUUUUUUUUAAUAGUCGAGGAUUACAAAUCAUAAUAUUAGGGCAAAUGACCCAGAGGUGCUCUGUAUGUUCUCAUCACUGGGCCCAUUUUCCUGGGACAAAGGCUGGGAUGUUACGUUCGUGUGUCUUAGCGUGCUGACAAAAGUUUACGUCCCUCUUCAUUCUUCCCUCUCCUUCCUGUCCUUCUCUACACUGUCACCUUGUCAGGGACACGCUAUGUCAGCCACGUAAGAAUCUAAUUCAUUAGCCAAGAGCGAUGCAGAAGAGCUGUGCAAACUUAUAGCAAUUAAGAUGACUGGGUCACACUGUCACUAACUGCUACUGUCAGGGAAAAACUCGGGGAAGAAAUAAGUCUUGAGAAUGACCUCAGGCAUGUGGUAUAUAAAACUCAUUUACUUAGAGAUGUGUUCAUCAACUGGGAUUAUUAUAUACAUUAAACCAACCAGCCAAGACAAGUUCCCGGGUGGCACAGCGGGUUAAGGAUCUGGCAUUGCUGCAGCUGUGGCACAGGCUGCAACCGUGGUGUGGGUUCGAUCACUGGCCAGGGAACUUCUACAUGGCUGCGAGUGCGGCCAAGAACCAACCAACCAACCAACCAACCAAUAAAACUAGCCAAAAAGGAAAACCAACCAACCAGCCAACCAAACUUAACAAGAAAAAAUUUUACUAGCACCAUGGUGAUGGCUUAUUUGAACUUAAGUUCUCUUCCAGUGAUAAAAUGAAACUAAAAAUUUCUUACAGUUUAAACAUGUGUGAGCAUCUCCAACCCCUAACCAGCUACAGUCAGAUGAUACUGGCUUCAUCUUAAUUCAUGUGGACAGACUCCAUCCAUGAUGCCUCAUCGCAGAAAGCCCAUCACCUACUUACUGAGUAAACACACACGACUCACUGGCAGAGGCGCUGAGAGCGGACGACGACGUUUCCAUCGCCAGUGUUAUUUGGUACCGUGCAGAGGGCAGCGCAUCCACCAGGAGUGACACUGUUCCUGUGAACGAACGUUACCCGCGACUCAGAACAAAAAUUAGCCGUGUCAUGACUGGAAUGACGAGGGAUCCGUCUGCUUUCUUCCCUGAGGUUCAGGGGAGGGACAGAGAGCAGGCGGUCCUCAGUUAAUGCGAAAGGAACUGGUUUUUCCAAGCCUCGCCCAUGGCAUUGGUUCUAUGGGCAGGAACCAAGCCACUUGGGCAUUUUGGCAUCGAGAACGGAAUGCCCUUUUGCUUUACAAACAAUCUUCUCCCCAGAGACUGAAGACAGGAGAAACGUGUAUACCCAGGGGUUCAAAAGGCACGCACAGGUCUGGGCUACAGAUGGGAGGUGGGCCGGGAGCUGACUUGUGAAUAUACUAGAGUUCUACUAUCGCCACAAAUAGGCAAGUGGAGACAUUCUGGAACUGCCAUGAGACCUUCGUUUCCACCAGGCUUUUAUCUAACGGUAAGGAGUGUUUCUUGGCAUGUUUUCAGUUUUUGGAACAGCUCCAAUACUAAAGUCCAAGACAAAACACGCCUCCAAACAACUUUCUACGCUGAAGGUUGUGCUUCCACUCCUACAAGUGAGUUCUGUUGACCCGUAACCAUUUCAUCUUCUGCUGAGAGCAACCAGGACAUACAAGGGACUGGGUGAUCUUUACUACAGAGAGCGGUAUCGUGGGCGACUCUUCUGUUAAAUAACAAAGUCUUUAGGAUUUAAAAGUCAGAGCUCGCAGAUGGAGGAGAAGCCACGUGUUAGGUCUGCUUCUAAAGCAGUUGUCACAUGGUGGGAGGGAGAAGUUCCACUUGUAAUGACAGUGGUGACUGUCAUUAAAUGACACAGACUGAUGCUUCUGAACUUCGGCACGGGUGUGAUGGAACAACGACAGGUGACUGGGUGCAUCUCCGCCCAACUUGGUGGCUGGCAACUGGUCACUCUGUGGGCAUGAAGAUCAUGGAAAUGGGCAAAGGCUACAAAUUAAGUACCCGUGCCUCUGGCAACACACACACACACACACACACAUGCCCUGCAUGGAAAGCCAGAUAUGAAACAUUUACACACACCAUCUGCAGGAGACUAAAACUUCUUGAACAAGGAGCUCCCAUCGUGGCACAGUGGAAACGACUCCAACUAGGAACCAUGAGGUUGCAGGUUCGAUCCCUGGCCUUGCUCAGUGGGUUAAGGAUUCAGCGUUGCUGUGAGCUGUGGUGUAGGUCGCAGACACGUGGCUCAGAUCCCGUGUUGCUGUGGCUCUGGUGUAGGCCGGUGGCUACAGCUCUGAUUCGACCCCUAGCCUGGGAACCUCCAUAUGCCGCGGGUUCCCAAGAAACGACAAAAAGACAAAAAACAAACAAACAACAAAAAAACAAACAAACAACAAACCGAAAAAACCUUCUUGAACAGGUUAUUCCUCCUUACACUGAAUCUGUGACUCCACAGGUACAAGCCGGUGUAUUGUUUUCAAUGAGUUGGUUCAAUGAAGUCUAACAAUUCUAACCUCAAAUUGCACAGAUACCUGCCUGUGUCUAUACCGGCAGAAACAGUUCCUUCUCAGUCAUACAUCCUGGUUCUCAGGGUUCUAGGUCUACAGGAUCCAAUGCACCUGGCGUUGGUCUAAUGCCCUGGGAGUCUCAGAGUCUCUAAGACAGCUGGAAUCUUCCAGAAGUCAAUGGCCGUACUAUGAAAAACAUUGACAGUUGGGUUUAAAACAUUCCAAUGAUGCCAAAUGUUGGUUUGAAAAUGUUCUCCAGGAGAAGACUGUUCCAGAAACUGGGUACAGAUCAUAGAUGCCAAUGAGAAUCUGACUCAAUUCGAAUUGUGUUAACUGACAAAGCUAAAAACACUAACAGCAGUUAGAACAUUUACAGAGUUUAAGCAGUUAAAUGCUGUCAUUAUGUUUGAUGGGUACCUAUCUUGCUCUCAUUUUUGUGAUCAUGUACCUCCGUUCUUCUGUCUUAGGUUAGCCAGUGUUUUUGCUCAUUAUCCCCCAGCUCAGGGAUGUUCUAAUUCUUGCGUAAGGCAUCCCAUCUCCUACGUCUACAGACAGACAAUAAAGGCUUUGGGUGAGAGCAGUAAUUUUUUCAAAGUCUUCCACAGAAGAAGAUUCCAUCAGCAACUCACCUCAACUGACAAUACUCUUGCUCAUUCUUUGCCCAAAUCCUUUGCGAUGAAGCUGGCGCCCGUUCCGUAUUCUCUGGGACUCGGGGGAGAAAGGGAACGGUUGGUCAGCAUCUUCCAUGUCGUGGCCCUUAAUGUUCAGCUGUGCUCCACAUUCAGGGCAGAAGCUCAAGGCCUAGUACAAGGCUGUCUGAAUAGACUUUAUUUUUUAAAAAAAUGUUAGAACUACUAUUACCCAAGCCUACUGCUCUUUGAAGGUUUUUGUUUUCGUAGACUCGUUUCAUCCGUUUUCCAGGCUAGAAAAUCCAAGUGACUAGACAUCUGCGAUGCCGGCCCCACGAGGCUCUUCUCCAGGUUUUGGUCAUCUGACCACCCUUCCCGACAGCAGCUACUGGGUACUUCGGGUCACCUCUUGAAACACGAAGUUUAAGAAGUCCAGCUAAAGCAGGCUUUCCCCAGGAUUCUAUUUCUUAUCCUUUUAGUCACGUGCUCAAUUUCCCCCGUAGUCCUAAUUAACAGUUCCCACUAACUUCGCACGAACGGUACUAUUUCCUGUGUCUUACGUCACUUUGAACUUUUUGCGUCUCAUUUAUGAGACUUUUCCUUCCUCUUUGAAUUCGCUGUCUCAAGAAUGCUCUAUUUCCUUUUACUCCUAUUCAUUACGGCUCAGUGCUUAAUAAGGUUUUCUCCUAUUAUUCCAACAAAGGGUUAUCAUUUUAUAUAACUUUGCAAAGAAAAAUGGUUUUUAGUUUUAGUUACUUUAAUAGUUUUAGUUCCAAUUUCCUUGUAAUGCUCUUGCUUUAGCAUUUAUCUUUAUUAGAAAGGGCAACAAAGGCCAUCAAAAAGUCUUGCAAAUUAACUAGGGAUCUGUAGACGUGGGGUGCUUCUUAAAUAAUCGAAGAGGCUAUCAUGUAUAGUCUCCUUCCCUCUCCAAAGCCAAUAAAAUCGUUGGCAGUCUGAGGAAUGCCAAAGAGGUACUUAAAGGAAAAAUGCUUUCUGUUUUGGCAAAUCACACUAUCCCUCCUGAAAAGUAAAACACUUCGGGAGUGACAGAGACUAAAAGAGGCCCCCGAAGCCACCUCAGAGACGGAAAAGGCUGCGUGGGAGUGCAUGUCUUUCAGAACAUGCCUCAAAUCAGUGCUUAAGAUAGAAACAAAAAAGUCAAAGUCUUCGAGUAAUUUCUCUCGAGCAGCACUCAUUUGGCACAGCUCCCAGGAGCCUGGGACAGAGGAGGGAGAUGCUUGCUUUUGGAACUCUCUGCUCAAACUCCUGUAUUCGGAGGCUCAGAUUACUUAGUCACAGUUUGCUUCUUUUUUUGCUUGAGCUUUUACCACGUAGAGAAUGACUUUGAAAAGCACGUCGAAUUGGCUUCUCAAUUUAGGCUGAAAUGUAUACUAUUUUUUGAAACUGUGGCUUUGACAAAGGAAACAAAAAAAAUCAGUAAAUGUUGACAGGCCUACCCAGAAGACUUGUUUUAAUAAUUUCCACAACAGAGUUUACAGGAUAUAAAAUUCGGGUCAUCUCCAGCCCCUGUCACGAGGAGAGGAUUGCUCAUGUUUAAGCAAAUUUGGUGCAUCCCACUGGGUUACGUGUCAUUCAGCAAGAUGUGCUCCCUG
rnacentral:lncRNA from 1 species